rnacentral:SRP_RNA from 1 species
GCCAGGCACGGUGGCGCAUGCCUGUAGUCCCAGCUACUCGGGAGGCUGAGGUGGGAGGAUCCCUUGAGCCCAGGAGUUCUGGGCUGUAGUGUGCUAUGCUGAUUGGGUGUAUGCUCUAAGUUCGGCAUCAAUAUGGUGACAUCCCAGGAGCAGGGGACCACCAGGUUGCCUACGGAUGGGGGAACCGGUCCAGGUCGGAAACGGAGCAGGUCAAAACUGCCGUGCUGAUCAGUACUGGGAUCGCACCUGUGAAUAGCCACUGCACUCCAGCCUGGGCAACACAGCGAGACCCCAGCUCU